GACAGAGGGUGCAAACGUUGCUCGGAAUCACUGGGCGUAAAGGGCGUGUAGGCGGGAAUGUAAGUCGGGCGUGAAAAUCCCUAGGCUCAACCUAGGAACUGCACUCGAAACUGCGUUUCUUGAGUACUGGAGAGGAAAGCGGAAUACCUGGUGUAGAGGUGAAAAUUCGUAGAUAUCAGGUGGAACACCAGCGGCGAAGGCGGCUUUCUGGACAGUAACUGACGC
rnacentral:rRNA from 1 species